CGGACGGUAGCACAGAGGAGCUUGCUCCUCGGGUGACGAGUGGCGGACGGGUGAGUAAUGUCKGGGAAACUGCCCGAUGGAGGGGGAUAASUACUGGAAACGGUAGCUAAUACCGCAUAACGUCGCAAGACCAAAGUGGGGGACCUUCGGGCCUCACACCAUCGGAUGUGCCCAGAUGGGAUUAGCUUGUAGGCGGGGUAACGGCCCACCUAGGCGACGAUCCCUAGCUGGUCUGAGAGGAUGACCAGCCACACUGGAACUGAGACACGGUCCAGACUCCUACGGGAGGCAGCAGUGGGGAAUAUUGCACAAUGGGCGCAAGCCUGAUGCAGCCAUGCCGCGUGUAUGAAGAAGGCCUUCGGGUUGUAAAGUACUUUCAGCGGGGAGGAAGGUGUUGAGGUUAAUAACCUCAGCAAUUGACGUUACCCGCAGAAGAAGCACCGGCUAACUCCGUGCCAGCAGCCGCGGUAAUACGGAGGGUGCAAGCGUUAAUCGGAAUUACUGGGCGUARAGCGCACGCAGGCGGUCUGUUAAGUCAGAUGUGAAAUCCCCGGGCUUAACCUGGGAACUGCAUUUGAAACUGGCAGGCUUGAGUCUCGUAGAGGGGGGUAGAAU
rnacentral:rRNA from 1 species